GGGGAAACCUCCGGCUGAGGAGAAAAUUUCGGUUGCAUCCCAGUCCAGUUGGCUCUAUCAAGCCAGCAUAAGUCUGCUCCAUCAAAUCUCUGGAAAUAAACGAACUUGUUUAUCAGCAGUCUCGGGAUACAGCCUGGAAAUGCUGUUAAAGAGAAUGAGUGUCUGACAGGGCAGCUGAAGGAGAAUGUCAAGAAGACAUAAUUUUUAAGAUGAAGUCUAAGACUGAAGACUUAUAGCCAGAAAUGAUUUUGAGCCAAGGAGGCCACAAAGAGAAGAAAUUUUGAAAGAUACCAAUCUCGCUGCCAAACUGGGAAUGAAAGAUUUGGAUGCAGGGGAUCCCAGAGUGAUGACUGCUUAGACAAGAAGGGGAAGGGUGGAAGAUGCUGCAGUACAACUAGAACCUGGAAACUGGAGUGGCAAAGAAAGAAGGCUAUUUGCAAAGUAGAGGAGAAAAAGAAGUUGAGAGGACAAAAAUAAUGACUGAGUUUUCCAUUUGGAUAAAGCUUCAUGCGUUUCUCAUCUGCCAGCUGAAAAUUGCAAACAAGAAAAUUCUGUUCGUUGGAGCAGUUCCUGGAGAGGAGGAAUAGUUUCAGUUGAUCAAAAGAGUUUAUAGCGCCUGAUGGUUUUUACUUUGAACUUUAAGAAUCAAAAAUUUAUUUGUGUAAAGGAGUUUUGCUGAUUAUUCAGUUCAAUUAUAUACUACUGACUCCAGGAAAAUGUGUGACAAUAAAUAUAUUCUAAUGGUCUCAUU